rnacentral:lncRNA from 1 species
GGCAGUGCUUGAUCUACAGGGUGAGUUGCUGAUGAAGAUGGUUGCCGAUGGAAGGAUGGUUGAACGUGACCAAGUCCAUAGGUGAUGAUGUGUUUGUGCCGAUGGCUAUGACAGAGGAGUCUGCCGAUGACACAGAGGGAGAAUCUGGAAGUUGCCGAUCAGCUUAUGGGGAUGUCCUAGUUUGACACGUGAGGAUAGUUUUACGAUUUCCUUAGUUAUUUAGAUCGUUUUGUACACGGACUCUGUUUAAAUUUGGAAUUCGAGUUCUAGUCGUGUCUGGUUGCAGCUCUUUGAGCAGGGUAUAAAUGUAGACCCUCGGGCCUUGUAACAAAAAAAAAAGAAAUCAAUCAAACACACGUUUUUACUCAUAUUCCAGCAUCUACUUUUCGACGAUUUUGUCGUAUUUUUUUUUUCUUUUUACGAGUUCUUAGGAAUUCGUCGACUUAAGCUCGGCGUGUUCUCGAGUUCCGCGUGAGUACCUCUUAGCCGUGACAUCCGGGCGCAUCGCUGUUGUCAGGACUAAAGUAUUCGAGUUAUCACCUUUGCCGAUAGCAAGGUCAAAUCGGCUGGCACGCCUUAACGUUUGAAUCGGGUAUUAGCCCUUUGUGUUUGCAGGUCAGUUUUGCAUCAACACAUCUUUUGGCACGCCCGGUGGGACCAGAUUCAAGAUCAAGAUCAACAUGUCGAUCUCUGACCUCGAUCAAGAGAACGUCAUCCCCGUGACGGAGGCCAACCUUAAGGAUGAGCAAAAGCAAGCUAUUGCCCAAGCCAUGGAAGACUUCAAGCAGCAAUGCCUA